GAUGAACGCUGGCGGCGUGCCUAAUACAUGCAAGUCGAGCGAACGGACGAGAAGCUUGCUUCUCUGAUGUUAGCGGCGGACGGGUGAGUAACACGUGGAUAACCUACCUAUAAGACUGGGAUAACUUCGGGAAACCGGAGCUAAUACCGGAUGAUAUUUUGAACCGCAUGGUUCAAAAGUGAAAGACGGUCUUGCUGUCACUUAUAGAUGGAUCCGCGCUGCAUUAGCUAGUUGGUAAGGUAACGGCUUACCAAGGCAACGAUGCAUAGCCGACCUGAGAGGGUGAUCGGCCACACUGGAACUGAGACACGGUCCAGACUCCUACGGGAGGCAGCAGUAGGGAAUCUUCCGCAAUGGGCGACAGCCUGACGGAGCAACGCCGCGUGAGUGAUGAAGGUCUUCGGAUCGUAAAACUCUGUUAUUAGGGAAGAACAUAUGUGUAAGUAACUGUGCACAUCUUGACGGUACCUAAUCAGAAAGCCACGGCUAACUACGUG
rnacentral:rRNA from 1 species